AUUGAACGCUGGCGGCAGGCUUAACACAUGCAAGUCGAGCGAGCGGCGGACGGGUGAGUAAUGUCUGGGAAACUGCCUGAUGGAGGGGGAUAACUACUGGAAACGGUAGCUAAUACCGCAUACCAUCAGAUGUGCCCAGAUGGGAUUAGCUAGUAGGUGGGGUAAUGGCUCACCUAGGCGACGAUCCCUAGCUGGUCUGAGAGGAUGACCGGCCACACUGGAACUGAGCCAGGGCCCAGACCCUUACGGGGGGCAGCAGUGGGGAAUAUGGCACAAUGGGCGAAAGCCUGUGGAAGCCAUGCCGGGUGUGUGAAGAAGGCCUUGGGGUUGAAAAGCACUUUCAGCGAGGAGGCGUUACUCGCAGAAGAAGAACCGGCUAACCCCGUGCAACAAGCCGCGGUAAUC
rnacentral:rRNA from 1 species